rnacentral:tRNA from 1 species
GCCGAAGUGGUGAAAUUGGUAGACACGCUACCUUGAGGGGGUAGUGGGCGUAAGCUCGUGGAGGUUCGAGUCCUCUCUUCGGCACCA